GGAUCCGUAGCCCAAUUGGCAGAGGCACACGGUUUAGGUCCGUGCCAGUGUGGGUUCGAGUCCCACCGGAUCCA
rnacentral:tRNA from 1 species